rnacentral:rRNA from 1 species
AACGAACGCUGGCGGCAGGCCUAACACAUGCAAGUCGAGCGAGGUAGCAAUACCUAGCGGCGGACGGGUGAGUAACGCGUGGGAACGUACCCUUUGCUACGGAAUAGCCCCGGGAAACUGGGAGUAAUACCGUAUGUGCCCUUCGGGGAAAGAUUUAUCGGCAAAGGAUCGGCCCGCGUUGGAUUAGGUAGUUGGUGGGGUAAUGGCCUACCAAGCCGACGAUCCAUAGCUGGUUUGAGAGGAUGAUCAGCCACACUGGGACUGAGACACGGCCCAGACUCCUACGGGAGGCAGCAGUGGGGAAUCUUAGACAAUGGGCGCAAGCCUGAUCUAGCCAUGCCGCGUGAGUGAUGAAGGCCUUAGGGUUGUAAAGCUCUUUCAGAUGGGAAGAUAAUGACGGUACCAUCAGAAGAAGCCCCGGCUAACUCCGUG